UAUUAACUCUGGCGGCGUGCCUAAUACAUGCCAGUCGAGCGAACAGACGAGGAGCUUGCUCCUCUGACGUUAGCGGCGGACGGGUGAGUAACACGUGGAUAACCUACCUAUAAGACUGGGAUAACUUCGGGAAACCGGAGCUAAUACCGGAUAAUAUAUUGAACCGCAUGGUUCAAUAGUGAAAGACGGUUUUGCUGUCACUUAUAGAUGGAUCCGCGCCGCAUUAGCUAGUUGGUAAGGUAACGGCUUACCAAGGCAACGAUGCGUAGCCGACCUGAGAGGGUGAUCGGCCACACUGGAACUGAGACACGGUCCAGACUCCUACGGGAGGCAGCAGUAGGGAAUCUUCCGCAAUGGGCGAAAGCUUGACGGAGCAACGCCGCGUGAGUGAUGAAGGUCUUCGGAUCGUAAAACUCUGUUAUUAGGGAAGAACAAAUGUGUAAGUAACUAUGCACGUCUUGACGGUACCUAAUCAGAAAGCCACGGCUAACUACGUG
rnacentral:rRNA from 1 species